UCAAAGCAAAAAAAAAAAAAAGAAGAAGAAAGAAAGAAAAGAAAGGGGCAUGAGUGGGAGGAAUGUAGGCCACUGACCAGAUGUCCAGCAGUAGAGCCAAGGGUGGGGUUGUUUGCAGUGUUAGGGAAGGUGGUGGGGCCAGGGCUGGGGCAGAAGGGUGGUCACUGUCACAGAUGUGCUCUGAGCUGCCCAUGAGAAGGAAGAAAGAAAAAGCAAAAACCAUUUAAGAAAUGGGGACAGGGCCGGGCGCAGGACAGAAAGAAGAGUGCUUUGAUGGAUUGGAGUGGCUGCAGCUGUGGCCAGAAAGGAGCGUGUCCUCUCCCCAGAGGUGAGUCUAUUAGAGAAGGCUCCAUGCAGUGAGAGGGGAGCACAGAGGAGAACGAGCUUGUGCCGCAAACCAAAGCUCAGGGGACGGAAAUCAGGAGGCCUCAUGGGUUGUAAAGGGCUGUUGAGAUUGCCUCCUCCCAGAAGAAAUCAACAGAAAGGCUCCUGCUUCUUUGGCGACCCAGAAUCCCUCCGAGGAAGCCAGAGUUGCAGCCAGCACUGUGUCACUGUUGCGGCUGCGGCUGCUGUUGUUUUUAGGCUACUUUGAGGUAAUAGAUGUGAAAGUGUUUUGAGAAAUACAAAGCACUCUGUGUUCAAAUAAAAGGUGUUGUUUCCAUUC